rnacentral:tRNA from 1 species
GUGUCAGUAGCCCAGUGGUAGAGCGUUUGCCUAGUAUACCGCUAGCAAAAGGUCCAGUGUUCGACUCACUGUUGAGGCA